UCCAUGAAAUCAGGCAAAUUAUAAGCCCUGAUCCCAUCGACAAGAAUUUCAGAAAUUUUGCACAUACUAUUUUUUUUAAUAAGCCAGGCAAAAAUGCAAAAAAGUUGGACAAGUUUCUUUCUGUCCCUAAUUUUUUCCUCCCGUACAUCUAUGUAUGCUAUAUCCCUUUUCAUGUCCCAAACUUCAUGUUCGAAGAUUCGUACAACAAAAUAUCAACCUUAAUCCUGGCCAUGUAUUCUAUGAAAUGUACAGUACCUUUUUUUGUAAAUAAAAUACAACUGUCCACACUGUACUGUACUAGUCUUCUAUAUCCAAGCCAUAUUCUUUAUACAUCAUUUUUGUUGUCUUACCUUCAAUCUCCGC